GCUGUCCCCUCCUGUAAUGGCCAGAGCCCAGCUUCUGGGCCUGAAAGUCGAGAUCAGAUCCCAGUUCUGCAAUUUAUCAGCUCUGAGGCCUUGGUGAGGGCGUCCACCGGGGCCUCAAUUUCCCCAUCCAUCAAAAGGGGGCAAUGCGCCGACUAAAUUAGUGAACAGAGAAGCUACUAAGCUGAGAUUAAAAUGAGUUAACUUAUCUAAAGUGCUUAAAACCGUGCCCAAUGAACAGUGAACUUCACGUCCCUUUGCUCUUACUGUCAUGUGUCUGUGGUGGUGGACCUUGGCCUGGGCUCCAGGACCAGGCACACGUCCCAGGCCUGGCCAUGGGUGGUUCAGAAGUGGGCAUAACCCAAAGCCGGGCUUACCUGCAGCCCAUCCUGAGACCUGCUGGGACAAUCAGAACCACAGUGCGGGGGAAGGACGGAAGCUGAAGUUCCUGUUGGUCGUCUGGUCCCGAGGGGGCUGAGCCAGCAGAGUUGGAGCCAAUGCGGGCCUGCCUCCUCUGCUGCCUUGUGACCACCUGGAUCCAGCUGGCCGGGAAUUUUUAGUUAUUUGAGCCGUUAAAUUCCCUAAUUAGCUUAAGCCUGUUUGAGCUGCUUUUUUUGUCCCCUGCAGAAGAAAAACAGUCCUGAGACACUCAGCCUGGGAUGGUCCCCUGAAGAAAGGAGACAGAAAGUCAUGCCCGUGUGGGGCCAUCCUGCAUGCUGCGGAUGGAGAAGGCGGAGCAGCCUGGGGCAGGGUGGCCAAGCUUCCCGAUGGCUCUCCUGUCCUGAGCUUUCCUGGCUGCACCAGGGUGCCCAGGGCCUAUGAGACACCAGUGUGAGCUGGUAAUAAAUGUCCCUUUCUUGCUUGAGAGCCAGAGUCCUAAUGAACAGUAUGAUUUCUGUUGUUUGUGUUUAGGAAGUAAUGUGGACAGAACAUAAACGUCCUGUGAGGUCGGCGUAUGUAGUUCGUUCGUUGAUGGCUAACUUGCUAUCGUAUUUGCCAAACAACAAAUGUGAUCCGAACGGAUGGACGUGUGUUUGAAAGACAGAGGUCUCCCCACACUCGCCGUCCGCAGAUGAAUCGGCACUGACCUUGCUAAGCACUGCCCGGAGGGAAGCCUGUUCUCUGGCUGCCCCUUUCUUCUCCUUUCUAAGAUGAAGAGGUGGCCCUUCCUGCUCCCCCAGCGCCACCCCGCCUGGGCCUGGGCAUUCUGUCCCCUCCCCGGUCCUGAAAAGGCUCACACCCAACUUGUUCCACCAGCAGCUUCUCCUUUUUGCCUUCAAACAAGUCCAAUCCCUGUUCUCUAAAACUUCAAGAUAUUAAGAGCGAUGCAGGCCUGCUGCCUCUGGGUCCCCACCCCUGGCCCUCUGCCUGCAGCUGUGUUACCAGCUUCCACCAAACAAAAGGUGAAUAAAUCACCAGUCCCUUCAUGGUUGCUAAGUUCUGUUACCAAUUGAACUCUCCCCAACUGGUUUGGACUGGUUUGGUUCAGCCGUCUUCUCCUUCCUUUCGUUCUGUUUUCCCCCAACACCUGCGCCCUGCUCUCCGAGCCCACUGGGAGGAUGUCUCGGAGCUGCUUCUGGGCUCCCACUGCCUCCACUCUGCUCUGGGCUCCCCUAGGCGGCCCCAGCUUCUCAGAGAGCUGGCCUCCUCCUCCUGUGCUGCUGCCUGCUUAUGCUUCGCUGUGACUUCAGGCCCAGCGUAUUCAAAAGUCCCACCUCCACACUGGCCAGCGCCCCACUCAGCAGCCACGGGGGCGCAGAGGGAGCUGGGAUUUUGCAAUUGCAAGCCUUGGCCUCAAAUCCCACUCUGCUAGUCCCUAAUCAUGUGAUCCCGGGCAAGUCACUACAACUCCUUUGGUUUCCUCCUCUGCAAACGGGGUCGACAGUGAUGUCCCCUCACAGGGUUGCUGCAGGCACCAGAGCAGGUGACGGAUGGAACACCUCACUGAACGCUGGGACGUGGGUUAUUGAGUGACAUACGAUAGUGUAAGAAUUAAGGAAACAGGCUUGGAGUCAAAGCACCGGAUUUAGCUCCUGGCUGUGUCCUUUCCUGGCGGUAUGACCUUGGCCAAUGAACAAGCAUAGCUGUGCCUCAUUUUCCACAUCUGCACAGUGGGCAUCUUACCAUGACCCUGCAGCUGGGUGUUGGGAGGAAGGUGGUUCCCACGGGCUCAGGGCUCGGAGCAGCGCCUGGCUUACAGACAGCAUUCACUAAACGUUUGCUGUGACACUUUCUCACUCUUCCCCAGCACGUUUCUAACUGACAGGGUCCCUAACCUCCCUGCCUGUCGGUGCCCGUAUUUUCAGAUCUGUUCAGUCACUGCUCAUAGAGUCUCAGGUGGCUGUGGUGUCCAGUGUCUUCAAGGACUGGCCCUGGCGGUGUGCACCCCAGGGAAGAGGCCAUGGCUUCUCUCUACCCGGCCUUCUCCGGACGUCUCUGCAGCAGGGCUGCCUGCUGUGGGGCCUGCCUCCGACCUGGGGACACAGUGAAGGAAGUUCAUUCUUCGCCAUCCUUUGGUUUAUUUGUCUGCACUUUAAGAUCUUAAUGGGUAGCAGGGUCUUGUUGUUUCUCCCUGAAGCUAUCUUUCCUCUUCUAAGGUGAGCCCCGGUGUCUCUAAAGCACAGCCACACUGCUGGGCAGGCUGCCUGAGGGCUGUCUCCCCGGCAGGCCGGCCCCCCUUGCCACCCCCAGGCUCAGCAUCCUGUCUCGCCAGAUGAUGGCUCUGCCACCCUUUGCCUGCCUGCCGUCUCUACAGCCACGCAUCUCAGCAGCUCCCUGUUACCUACAAGUUCACUGCACCAAAUUCAAAGACCUGAUCUUUUUCCUUGUACCCUCCUUGUACCUGAAAGUAUUUAAGGUGGCAUCUCAUUGUUAUUUUUUUAAGAUCCUCGAUGAUCUCGCUACAAAACUGGACCUUCAGAAUAGGCUUAGAACCCAUGCCAAAGUAGUCGCUCGGUCUGUCCAGGUCCCCUGUUGGCUUGGUGGCCGUCUCUGAGGGGCACCUACUCUGUUCCCGGCGGUGCAGCAGCGGUCAAGGCCUCACUCUCAGCAUCUUAGGUCCAGCUGGGCUCCAGCCCAUGGAGUCAGCAUGUUAGUGCCUAGAGCUGCUAUAGCAAAGUGCUACAAAUGGGGCGGCUUUUGAAAAACAGAAGUGUAUGCUUUCACAGCUCGGAGGCCUGAAAUCAACGUGUCAGCAGGGCCGCACUCCCUCCGAAGGUUCUGAGGAAGAAUGCUUCCAGCCUCGUCCAGCUUCUGGGGCCCUUGGCAUUCCCUGAUUUGUGGCCACGUCACCCCACUCCCAGCCUCUGUCUUCACAGGGCCGUGCUCUCCUUGUGUGUCUGUCUCCAAACCCCCACUCUUCCUGAGGACACUGGGCAUUGGCUUUAGGGUCCAUCCGAAUCCCGCACGACUUCUUUACUUGGUUACAUCUGAAAAGCCCUGUUUCCAAAGCAGGUCACAGGUACCAGGUGGUAGGACUUGAACAAAUUUUUGAGGGAACAGUUCAGCCCACAAGAGUCAGCAACCAGAGCAGCAAGGUCAAACAAAUGAGGACAAAAUUUUAGUGAAAAUACUUUUUUUCAGCUCUAUGAAUUUGCUUAAAAUUCACAGUUUUGUAGUAGAAACUGGUAUAGGAUAGCAGAGAGCCUGGGCCACUGAGUCCUAGUGUCUGAAUUUCAAUCUUGCAAAGAUCAGUUUCUUUGCCUUUGUAAUAAGAGUCAUGCCCACGUCAUCAAACUGUGGGGGUGAUGGUGGUACUGGAGCGAAAACAUGUCAGUCGCCACAUUGAUGCCUGCACUGUGACCCCUUCAGAAGACUCAUCUGUUAUCAACUCUACAGCAGUAUUUGACCAUCAAUUCUGGUUUACUGUUAUGUUGUGUGUGUGUAUGAGGAAGAUUGUCGCCGAGCUGACACCUGGGCCCAUCUUCCUCUGUUUUAUAUGGGAGACAGCACCACAGCAUGGCUUGAUGAGCGUCAUGGGUCCACACCUGGGAUCUGAACCUGCAAACCCGAGGCUGCUGAAGCGGAGUGUGCGAACUCAACCACCACGCCACCAGGCCAGCCCCGUGGUUUACUGUUUUUUAAUAUAACCGUUACAAUCUUAAUUUUUCAAACAUCUUGAAUACUUUAAAUAAACCUCCUGUUAUUAAGCCUUAAAUCAGCAGUAUUGUGCACCGGGGCUGGCCUCAUCUGUCAUUUUGUACAUGGGCCCCUCUGUGCCCAUACAGCCUACCUUCCAGGAAGGUGACAGGGAUGAUAAAUAUCAAGUUGUUCCACACUGCAUCCCAUUGCAGCGAACUUUCUGCACACAUGGCCUACCCUCUGUGUGAAGCAAAAUGGGUUAUAAAUAUCCAGGAGUUAUUGUGACAUUGAACUGCCAUGGAUGUGGACUAGAAGGGAGUGGCCACUUGGUUUUAUUCAAACUGACCUUACCAUCAUGGCAGCAGCAUGCGGCAACACUCAAGCUGUCAGCCAAGCCUGGGAGCUGUCUGUUUACAGAGUUUGUGUUGAAGAGGGUUUUGCCCCACGGAUUCCACCUGUGGUGACUCUUCAUCAGUUGGGUCAAGGUAAUUGGUUAGACUACUAACCUCCCAAGGCUGACCCUUCACCGAUGGAAGGUCUGGGGAUAGCAGAUUGCAGACUUUUCCCACGAUUCUCGAGAGGGAAUGGAGUUGAGGCGAAAAGGAACAGAAAAUUGAGGAGGUGUCUGUGAACUUAUUGUUAAUGUUCCUCUCAGUUCUUUUAGAAUGCUUGAUACACACACACAAAAUAACAGGACAGUUUCCUGGACAUGCCACCAGGGGACACCUGACGCCCUCCCCCCACCGUGGUGGUUUUCCUCAAGGGGCUUCCAGCUGAAGGUAGGUAAAUGCAACAGUCAGCAACCAUGGUGACAGUUCCUAGAAGGAAAGAAGCAGAACCCACCAUCUACUGGGGAAGCAACUGGAAUGAAAAGCUUUGAAAACAAAGGCAAAAGAUCAAAAGACAAAGUACUGAAAGGGAAUCCAAGAUGUACUGAUGGGUGGACACUAACUUUAGGAAAACCAGGGAGAUCCGGGCACAGAUGGACCCGCAGAGACCAAGCGCGAGCCUCUGAGGCUGUCCCGGAGCCAGCAUGUUCACGACCCUGCGAAGCAGGCAGCUCCCCCUUGAGAGAUGGGGAAACCAAGUCCCAGAGGGAGUGCAGGGCCGUGUCACCGGGUCCACACCCCUCCCCCUUCUGCUCUCCCCUCCGCUGCGUGUAAGCGGUUUCCCCAGCGCGGGAGCCUGCAGGCCUGGGGGCAGAGGAGGCCUCUUUCCGGACCUGGGAGACCUCGCCUGCCCAGCACAGGGGCCUCGCCUCCACAGCCAUGACCUCUCGCCUGGGGCGCGUGACCCACCCGGCUGCCCACUCCCCACCCGCACAGAGCAGAGAGGAUGGGAAGGGGGACACGGGGCCUGACCCUCUCCACAUCGCAGCGAGUUUUCCAGGAAAGCGGGGGACCUUCGUGGCAGGACUCUCCCAGCGCUCUCCAGCCCGGGAUUCAGACCAACUCACCUCUUCCCGGGUCACGGCCGUUACCCCUGCAGAGCUCUCCAAGAGGUCGACUACCGAAAAUGGCGAAAUAGGAAAUGUUUUUAGAGGAACAUAUGCAGAAUCGAAAAGGAGCUGAAUAGAAGCAUGUUUACAGAACUGAGCAAGGACCAAAGGAAAGCUGAGCGAAGAGGCGGAUGGAGAAGCUUUCUCCUGACGCAGGUGUUUUCAGUGCGAGUGGCUGUGCUUUUGCUGUGCAUGUGAAUUUCUAGAACACUGGAGUUACCUAUAAUUAAAAAGAGAAGAAACAUCAGCUUAGGAUGCCAAGAAUGAUUCUGACGCCAGUCGGUUAGAGAAGCACCCGGGGCUCUCUCUGUCCUCCGACUCGCCUCGAAGUAAGCCCAGUGGUUGCGUCACACUUGGAAGCAAGCAAAUAGAGCACAGGCAUUUUAAAGAGAAGCUUCAGAUUUAAGACAUUUUUAGGCAGCUGAAACAAUUCUAGGAGAAGUGUUCCACAUCGUUAAUGCUGAAAGACAAAAGAGCAGACUGCAGCUGGGCGUGAGCAGGCGUGAGAGAGCUGCGCGGCCUGCAAAGGCAAGGAGGAGCAGCCGCUGAGCCCGCCAUACACCAACCUGCCACCUUCUCUGCUCAAGCUGCACAUUAUUGCUAAGAGUAUGCGGUGUUUGAAUAAGGGGACUCGUCGCUGACUGUGAGGCAGCCAAGAAUGAGGAGAGCCGGCCCUUGCUUCCCCGGACCUGGCCAUGGUGUAAGGUGUGAUCAGAGCUGCUGGGUUCAGUUCACUGAAGAGCAGUGUAAGGUGGCCUCCCGCGGCACGCAUAGGAAGUGCUGGCUUAGAGAGCCCGCUGGUCGGUGGCGGAGGAAGCCCAGCUCCCUCAGAAACGUGUAACGACCCGCCUGCUCAGACAGGAGACAGCCCACUACCCGCAAACAUCCUCCAGCACUGGAUGCCAGAGUUGGGCCAGAAAGGCAGUAUCACUGAGCAAGAAGGGACGUGGGACCUGCCAGUCGUUUAUGCCAUCUGGCUCACAUAACCAGAAGAAAACUUGGCACCUACAUUCAACCGGAACGGCCAUAAGUUCUCAAAACAUCUUAUUUUCUCUUUGCCAAGAACAAAGUGACAACUGAUCUCAAAGUUUCAGGUUAACAGAUGCAUUCUGAGCACCUAAUGUAUGAAAUGGAAUGAGCCAAGCACUGGAAGGAUACCGAGCUGUAUCAAUCAGGGAAACGGCUCUCGCUCUAUAAGAGAGAACACUUCAGAUUUCAGUGGCUUAGCCCGUGGAAGUUAAUUUCACACUCAACAGCUCAGUGAUGCUGUUAUAGGUCAGGGGACAACUUUCUUCCACCUGGUGAUCCAGGGAUUCCGGCUCCUUCCGAGUUCCUGCCAUGCUCUUGGGCAUCAGAAUCUUCGGCUUCAAGCUGCCCAAGACGGGGAAGGGAAGAAGGCAUGCACACUUCUUAAAAUGCCCAGCCCAGAAGCGGCACCUGUCACUUCCACUUAUCGUUAAACUGGUAAGAAGCAGGUAUUGGGCACACCUGGAGGAGGUAUUCGCCCAUGGAGUCCUGGGCUGGGUAGUCACUCCCUGCCAGGACUUUACCCUCGGGAAGGAGGAACAAGCGAGAGGUCUCUGUCAUCCAUAUCAUGUAAGAUGUGGCUCCCACCUGCAAAGAAACUUCGUCAGAGUAAAGAAAAGAGUCUGUGGAAGAGAAAGGUCAUGGAGGAGGUGGCAUUUGAAUGAUCCUUGAUUGACAGAUGGAAGCGCCAGCCGGGCGGUGUUGGUGAGAGGGGCAUUCCGGAUGGCACGCCGGCACAAACAGAGCAUGGCGGUGGGGAGGGAAUGCUGAGUGACUAGUUUUCCCCACACAAAGCUUUGCAUGGGGAGAGGGGACAACUCGAGGGCGAGUUCCACGUCUGUUUCCUCUGAUCCCACGCAGAGCCUAGCCUAGGCCUGCCGAGCAGUGCGGCAAGUGAGCAUCUGUGACUCGAAUAAAAGGCGGGACACAGAGAACAAGUUUGGGUGUGCAGGGCAUGAAGGAGGCAUGGGUUUGUGUGAAGCCUUUCACUUAGGACAGAAGUAGAUUUAAGACAAACAAUAAAUCUGUGGAGGGACGUUGUAUACCUCCGGAGCAUCACUCCUCCUUUGUGUGGUGAGAGCACUUUGACUCUCUCGGGAGAACUCCCCUCUCGCAUCCUCGGUAGGACUGUCCUCAAGGGCCUGCCCUCCUGUGGCCUGGACAGUCACCUCUCAUGGAGACGGAACUCGGGCAGAUCAAGGACAGAAGUGGCAGACAGCCGGCCCAGUGCUAGCCUCCCCAGUGGGAUGGUGGACAUCAUCCAUCUGGUCUGCCAUUCUUUGGCAGAUUAAUGGAGGCUACUCAUUCUUGGUCACUCCUCCCAUCAGGAGGCAGAGUCUGUGCCCCUUCCGCUCUAUCUGGACGGGCUCUGUGACUCC
ensembl:lncRNA